GUUGAAAAAGUAAGUACUAAUAUUUGAUAAGCAAUGGAAUCCAGUACCGUAUCUUCCGUCCUGCAGAAUAAUUUUAAAAACAAGAUUUUGCUACACAAGAUUUUUCAGAAUCUAUUACGAAGUUAUUAGAAGAGUUUUUGUUUAACAAGCCUUGGAAUGCUUUGGAAGACUAUCCAUGGAAAAUCACCCACUACCAAAAAUGGUUAUGAGAUAGUGAGAUGAACACCGUGGAAAUUAUAAUACAAUAAGUAUAUUCUACGUUAUGUAGCUAUAAAUGAUUUAAUAGAUUAAAUCAUUUUCAAUACUGUAUUUAAGGAUGCUUUCAAUUUUGUCCAAGAAGAGUAAUCAGAAGAGGAGAAGAACGAAUAAUUUAGUGGGUUGAAUGAUGGGAUGCUCAAUCAGCAUGAAAGAAGGUAAAGUCCAUUAAAAUGAUACAACAAAAAAACCAAGUGAGACAUGCUUGAUAAUGAUUUUUUCAAACUUUUGCUGAUUCUCAAUAAUUUUAAUAAUAAUAAUAAUAAUAAACAGAUCGUUUGUGAUGAGAAUUAUAUUUUUAAUGAUCAAUAAUUUCAAAUUUUUAUUUAUGAAUUUUCUAUUUUCAAUGAAUAAUUUUAAUUAGCAUAAUAAUAAACAGAUCGUUUGUAAUGAAUAAUUAUUAUUGUUGUUUUGACUCGUUUGACUAGUUUCAGGAUUAAAGAAGGAGAAAUGUUUUUUUUAAAGAGGUAGGCUGACAAUGAAUCUGAAGCUACCUUCAAAAUUGGCAGUUGAGGAUUACAGUAAGAUUCUUCAAUCCUUCUAUGUUCAAUAAUUGAUUAAUAUAUGUAUUAAACGUUUUUACAGAGGAAGCUUGAAAUCAUCAAUGAUGAAGGUAUGAAAGAAAUGUUUCAGAUUGGCCAUGGGAAUCAGCAUAAAAUAUGAAUGGGUAAUGAUGAUAGGUGUUAUGAUGGAACGAUCUAAAAUCCAUGCCCAAGGAGGGAUUCAAACCCACGAACUGAUUACUAAGUUUAUUUUGAGAUUAUCAAGGAAGUUAUUCAAUUCUCAAACGGGAUAAUCACUUGAAACUUUGAUGAUUUUGUAAUCUUUCUCAGGGAAAAAUUAAUAACCCUAACCGAUUUCUAAAGAAUAUUUAUACUGUUGUACACAGUAAAGAUUUUCCAAAAUCUACUUUUGAAAUCUAAUCUCGAAUUUUGUAAUUCUUCAUAGAAUUAAAAUUAAUAACCCUGACUGAUUCAAAAGAAUAAAUACUGUUGCACACAGUAAAGAAUUUUCAAAAUCUACUUUUGAAAUCUAAUCUCGAAUUUUGUAAUUCUUCAUAGAAUUAAAAUUAAUAACCCUGACUGAUUCAAAAGAAUAUAUACUGUUGCACACAGUAAAGAAUUUUCAAAAUCUACUGAUAAUCGACAGAAAAAAUAUUAUCUAAAACCUAUGUAUAACUAACUAGACACGAAACAGACAAAAUGUACUUUUCAGCAUACAGCACAUGUAUUUUUCGACAUCAAAACCGAUACAUGCACUUCAACUCUUCAAUGACAUCCAACACACAUUCUUAAACAGAAUGGCUAAGAAAUGACAACAAAAUUAACGGAAACAUGCACAGAUGUAUUGGAAAAUAAUUGAAAUAUCAUUGAUUUUUGAAUGUUAUUGCUUAUGAUUACAAAAUUAUUGGAAAUGGAGAAAAUACUUGAUAGUAAUUGAAUUAAUAUUGGAUUAAAUACGAUUAAUGUGAAUUAUAGAGGUUUUGUGACACUGCCAAUCCAGGAUCCUGGUCAUAGGCAAAGCGGAAGGUUAGUUAUACUGUAUAAUUGAAAAUUUAUCAUUCUCCUUUUGUCAUUGUCCUAUUGGACAAUUCAAUGGUAUUUAAUUGACAGAGAUACAUAGAAAAUUCCAAAUUUUGUUUAGAAUUUGGAGCAAUUGGAAUAUGCAUUUUCUAUAAAGACGAAUGAUACGUAUUUGACUUGGGCGUUUUAUAGUGAUUUUCAAAGACAGGAGGUGCUUUAGGAAAAUUCAUACUCCUUACAUGAGUUAAAUGUUUUUCAAUGACAAAAACUGUAUCUCAUAUUAAAAUAGAACAUGUUUACUAUAUCAAACCUAUUACAUGAAAUGUGGUCACCAUGUACCAUGCACAUGCAAAAUCAUGUUCAUUCCACAACGGUCCCCAGUUUUGCAGUGUGAUUCAAAUUGAAGAAAGCUCAAUAAGUUUGAAACAAACGUAAACAUUAACAUUGAUGGAUAUUAAAAUUGAAAAAAUAUAUAUAAGUUUAUAACAAACGUAAAAUUAUUGAAUUCUUCAAAGAAUGUUAUGAAAGUUUGGUACAAAAGUAUUCAAUUGAUAUAUGUAUUUGAAAUUAUAUUCAAAUUUGAAACAGAUAUAAAAUUUCAAAACCAAUUUCAGGUAUUAUAUUGAUAGAAAGUGAAGUUUUAUAAAGUGUAGAAUAGUUGUUGAAGAUUAUACUUUAAUUAGAAUUCAAUAUCCCACUCCAAUAAUGUAAAACACUUCACCAGAAGAAAUUCAAGAUUGUAGUUUACGUCUGAAGUUAUAAUAGAUGUUUUUUUUAUAUAUUUUUAAAACAUGCUACUUUGCACCACAAAUCUCUCUAGUGGCUGACUCACCGAUGACACCUCAUAUAUUACUUUUAUUUUAUAUCCUUCCUCCAAACCCAACGCUUUCCUUUCAUUAUUGGUUAAAAUUUUCAUUAGAUUCAUUACUUGUUUUGUAUUUUUAAUAUUUUUAUAUGAAGCUAUUGAGAAAGAAUUGAUACAUCUUCCAUGAACAAAAGCCAGAAAUUGGAAUGAAGACAUGGGUAAGUAUCUACUAUUUCACAAAUUCGCUUCCAGAUUCGAUUUUUUUUCUCAUUGACAGCAGCUAUCGAACUAGAAGUACGGUAGCUAAGGUGAGGCACGGGUGCUGAGUAUUCACUACAACUUCAUAAACUUGACAAAUGAAUAGAUGCUGAUUAUUUAUUUAUUUUUGAACAAAGACCGUUCAUUUAAAAAUAUAAAGUGGUUAGCUCACUUUGCUAGUAAUUGUAUUGAAAUGCGUUCUUACGGUCAUAGUUCAAUACUAAUGAAUAUCAAAUAAAUGGAAUAAGAAGAGAUCAUGUGAACAACCAGCUAUAUGCUAAUGUUUGAAAUACAUGGUUGCUAUAUGCAACCAGUUAAUGUAUUAUACAUAAAACAUUGUAAUAUAAUACAUUGUAGAUUACAAUUUAUGUUUCUAUAUUAUAUGUGUUAAUUUGAAUAAAUAGAACAAGUGAAUUGAUCUUGGUAAAUACAAUAAGGUUGAUAAUAUACUAAAAUAGAUUAAUAAUAAAAUUGUAUAAACUUAUUAAAUUCAUUAACAGAUUAAUUGAACUUAUUCUAUGAGACAAACUGUAUCAAUUAAAAUGUACAAAAAGUACCUUUUCCUACAGUUACGUUGAAAAGUGGCCAUUGCUGCACUGAUUACAGAACGCAAAGAAU